GUUGCAUGGCUGUCGUCAGCUCGUGUCGUGAGAUGUUCGGUUAAGUCCGCUAACGAGCGCAACCCUCGUCGUAUGUUAUAUGUGUCAUACGAGACUGCCGGUAAAAAGCCGGAGGAAGGUGAGGAUGAUGUCAAGUCAGCAUGACCUUUAUAUCCAGGGCUACACACACGCUACAAUGGUCUGUACAAUGGGUAGCCAAGCCGCGAGGCGGAGCCAAUCCUGAAAGCAGGCCUCAGUUCAGAUUGCAGUCUGCAACUCGACUGCAUGAAGCCGGAGUUGCUAGUAACCGCAGGUCAGCAAUACUGCGGUGAAUACGUUCCCGGGUCUU
rnacentral:rRNA from 1 species